rnacentral:rRNA from 1 species
AGAAUGAACGCUGGCGGCGUGCUUAACACAUGCAAGUCGAACGGAAUACAAGGAGCUUGCUCCGAACUAUUUAGUGGCGAACGGGUGAGUAUCACGUGAGCAACCUGCCCCGAAGACUGGGAUAACACCGGGAAACCGGUGCUAAUACCGGAUGUCUUUCAAUGAUCGCAUGAUCGAUGAAAGAAAUGUUUUUUCGCUUUGGGAGGGGCUCGCGGUCCAUCAGCUUGUUGGCGGGGUAACGGCCCACCAAGGCUACGACGGAUAGCUGGUCUGAGAGGACGAUCAGCCACACUGGAACUGAGACACGGCCCAGACUCCUACGGGAGGCAGCAGUGGGGAAUCUUGCGCAAUGGGCGAAAGCCUGACGCAGCAACGCCGCGUGAGGGACGAAGGCCUUCUGGGUUGUAAACCGUCUUUCAGCAGGGACGAUGAUGACGGUACCUGCAGAAGAAGCCCGGCAACUACGUGCCAGCAGCCGC